rnacentral:rRNA from 1 species
GUUAGGAAUAUUGGACAAUGGGCGCAAGCCUGAUCCAGCCAUGCCGCGUGAGUGAUGAAGGCCUUCGGGUUGUAAAGCUCUUUAGUCCACGAAUAUAAUGACUGUAGUGGAAGAAUAGCCCCGGCUAACUUCGUGCCAGCAGCCGCGGUAAUACGAAGGGGGCGAGCGUUAUUCGGAAUCACUGGGCGUAAAGCGUGCGUAGGCUGUUUUGUAAGUCAGAAGUGAAAGCCCAGGGCUUAACCCUGGAAUUGCUUUUGAAACUACAAGACUCGAAUUCGGGAGAGGAUAGCGGAAUUGUCAGUGUAGCAGUGAAAUGCGUAGAUAUUGACAGGAACACCAGUGGCGCAAGCGGCUAUCUGGACCGAUAUUGACGCUGAGGCACGAAAGCGUGGGGAGCAAACAGGAUUAGAAACCCUUGUAGUCC